UACGUAGGGUGCAAGCGUUAAUCGGAAUUACUGGGCGUAAAGCGUGCGCAGGCGGUUUUGUAAGUCUGACGUGAAAUCCCCGGGCUCAACCUGGGAAUUGCGUUGGAGACUGCAAGGCUAGAAUCUGGCAGAGGGGGGUAGAAUUCCACGUGUAGCAGUGAAAUGCGUAGAUAUGUGGAGGAACACCGAUGGCGAAGGCAGCCCCCUGGGUCAAGAUUGACGCUCAUGCACGAAAGC
rnacentral:rRNA from 1 species